rnacentral:lncRNA from 1 species
GUACAAUAAGAACUUCAAGACACUGAAGAAAGAAAUUGAAGAAGACCUCAGAAGAUGGAAAGAUCUCCCAUGCUCAUGGAUUGGCAGGAUUAAUAUAGUAAAAAUGGCCAUUUUACCAAAAGCAAUCUACAGAUUCAAUGCAAUCCCCAUCAAAAUACCAAUCCAAUUCUUCAAAGAGUUAGACAGAACAAUUUGCAAAUUCAUCUGGAAUGACAAAAAACCCAGGAUAGCUAAAACUAUCCUCAACAAUAAAAGGACUUCAGGGGGAAUCACUAUCCC